AUUGAACGCUGGCGGCAGGCCUAACACAUGCAAGUCGAGCGAGAAAGGUCUUCGGACUGAGUAGAGCGGCGGACGGGUGAGUAACGCGUAGGAAGCUACCCGGUAGCGGGGGAUAACUCGGGGAAACUCGAGCUAAUACCGCAUACGCCCUGAGGGGGAAAGCGGGGGACCUUAUGGCCUCGCACUAUCGGAUGCGCCUGCGUCGGAUUAGCUGGUUGGUAGGGUAACGGCCUACCAAGGCGACGAUCCGUAGCUGGUCUGAGAGGAUGAUCAGCCACACUGGGACUGAGACACGGCCCAGACUCCUACGGGAGGCAGCAGUGGGGAAUAUUGGACAAUGGGGGCAACCCUGAUCCAGCCAUGCCGCGUGUGUGAAGAAGGCCUUCGGGUUGUAAAGCACUUUCAGCGGGGAGGAAAGGGCGCUGGUUAAUACCUGGCGCAGUUGACGCUACCCGCAGAAGAAGCACCGGCUAACUCCGUGCCAGCAGCCGCCGUAA
rnacentral:rRNA from 1 species